rnacentral:rRNA from 1 species
AACGAACGCUGGCGGCAUGCCUAACACAUGCAAGUCGAACGAGACCUUCGGGUCUAGUGGCGCACGGGUGCGUAACGCGUGGGAACCUGCCCUUAGGUUCGGAAUAACUCCCCGAAAGGGGUGCUAAUACCGGAUAAUGUCUUCGGACCAAAGAUUUAUCGCCUUUGGAUGGGCCCGCGUUGGAUUAGCUAGUUGGUAGGGUAAAAGCCUACCAAGGCGACGAUCCAUAGCUGGUCUGAGAGGAUGAUCAGCCACACUGGGACUGAGACACGACCCAGACUCCUACGGCAGGCAGCAGUGGGGAAUAUUGGACAAUGGGCGAAAGCCUGAUCCAGCAAUGCCGCGUGAGUGAUGAAGGCCUUAGGGUUGUAAAGCUCUUUUACCCGGGAUGAUAAUGACAGUACCGGGAGAAUAAGCUCCGGCUAACUCCGUG